UGGACACCAGCCCAUCUGGGGUCUAUGAGCACAAUGAUUAUUACUUUUCUCGAGCAGAGCUUAAAGUUCCUGAAGAACAUUUCAGUUAAAGUUUAGCAUCAGGAUGUUAGCUAUAGGGGAGAUAAAUGAAUUCAAAGGGCUUCAAUCUGAAGUCCCACAGGACCAACACAACCUAUGCACCAAUCUGCUAAUUUGGUGGUGUCACAUGGAAAGCCAUUAUUAAUGGAAAGACAUUGACUUGCAACCAGAUGACAUCUGUGUAUCCAAUUCUGUUACAUGCUAUGCAAUCUUCUAUAAGGAGGAUGAUACCACUACUCGGGCUGUGUGAACGUGUAGUGCUUGGCAUAGGAAAGACUUGCUAUAGCCUCAUGUUUUUUUUUUUUUUUUUUUUUUUUUUUCUGGAAACAACUCCUUCAACCUCAAGGAUUUUAUUGGAAACUUUGAAGUAAUGACAUGGCACACUGGAGUGUCCUGUGAGUCCACUCUGCAAUUGAACCACUAGUAGAUUAAGCUGAACUUGCGUAGGAAAGCCUUCUAGCAAUUAACCUGGGGUUGGGUGACUUUAAGCAUUUUCAUUCUGCUACAGAAACAAAAAAAGAUGUGACUGGAGAAAUGCUAUUCCUUUAAUUGAAGGAACACUUUUAUGUUCUCAGGUCUAUUUUAAUCUUAAGUGCUGAUUAUGCAUCAUUCUCCCCUGUUAACAGACACUUCUGUAAGUGAUCUGCACAGAGAAAUAUGAUUCUUACAUAAAUACUGUACCACGAGAAAUUAUCUCAUUAUCUAAUACGCCAAAAAUCUAAUAAGAUAAAGGAACGGUAUGAGUCAUUUUUGGACAAUAUUAAAACUUGCUUUUAGCUCAUGGAAAUAAAAUAUAAUUUCCUUUUAUUAUUCUCUUCACGAAGAACAAAGAAAUGUAGGAUGUAAGGGUAUUAUACACCUGUGUUCUAUGAACUCUCAUGAAGGCUGAUGAAGGGAUCGGGCAGGAUAGUCUCAAAUUAAGAUUUUAAUUAUUCUUCUAUUGAGAAAACAUACUCUUGCUGCUCAUGCUGUUUCAUCAGGUAUG